rnacentral:rRNA from 1 species
UACGUAGGGUGCAAGCGUUGUCCGGAAUUAUUGGGCGUAAAGAGCUCGUAGGCGGUCUGUCACGUCGGCUGUGAAAACCCGGGGCUCAACCUCGGGCCUGCAGUCGAUACGGGCAAACUAGAGUGCGGUAGGGGAGACUGGAAUUCCUGGUGUAGCGGUGGAAUGCGCAGAUAUCAGGAGGAACACCGAUGGCGAAGGCAGGUCUCUGGGCCGCAACUGACGCUGAGGAGCGAAAGCGUGGGGAGCGAACAGG